GUUGUAUGGUUAAGUGACUAAGCGUACACGGUGGAUGCCUUGGCAGUCAGAGGCGAUGAAAGACGUAGUAACUUGCGAUAAGCCCAGAUUAGGUAGUAACAACCAUUUGAGUCUGGGAUUUCUGAAUGGGGAAACCCACUUACAUAAGUAAGUAUCAUUAACUGAAUACAUAGGUUAAUGAGGCGAACCGGGGGAACUGAAACAUCUAAGUACCCCGAGGAAAAGAAAUCAACCGAGAUUCCGAAAGUAGCGGCGAGCGAAAUUGGACUAGCCCUUAAGCUUUACACGCGUUAGACGAACGGUCUGGAAAGUCCGACGAUACAGGGUGAUAGUCCCGUAGUUGACGACGUGUGUUCAGUGAAAUCGAGUAGGGCGGGACACGUGAUAUCCUGUCUGAAUAUGGGGGGACCAUCCUCCAAGGCUAAAUACUACUGACUGACCGAUAGUGAACCAGUACCGUGAGGGAAAGGCGAAAAGAACCCCUGUGAGGGGAGUGA
rnacentral:rRNA from 1 species